rnacentral:rRNA from 1 species
UGGGGAAUAUUGGGCAAUGGGCGCAAGCCUGACCCAGCAAUGCCGCGUGGGUGAAGAAGGUCUUCGGAUUGUAAAGCCCUUUCGGCGGGGACGAUGGUGACGGUACCCGCAGAAGAAGCCCCGGCCAACUUCGUGCCAGCAGCCGCGGUAAUACGAAGGGGGCUAGCGUUGCUCGGAAUCACUGGGCGUAAAGGGCGCGUAGGCGGCUCUGUUGGUCGGGCGUGAAAUCCCUGGGCUCAACCCGGGGGCUGCGCCCGAAACGGCAGGGCUAGAGGACGGAAGAGGCUCGCGGAAUUCCCAGUGUAGAGGUGAAAUUCGUAGAUAUUGGGAAGAACACCGGUGGCGAAGGCGGCGAGCUGGUCCGUUACUGACGCUGAGGCGCGACAGCGUGGGGAGCAAACAG